UGGGGGGGGGAUGCUGGGAAAGGGAGGACUCCAGGACUUGAAAUAGAGCAGGUAGUAUUUGUCUUUCUCACUCCUGCCUCCCACUGUUUGGAUGUGUUGUCCCUGAAUAUUUGUCUUCUUUCUGUGGUUUCACCUUAGCCCUUAAACAAAACUAACAAGCUGGAGUCUUCUUCAUUGGCAUUUUGACACUUUUUUGAUCUAUAACUAAAGCUACAGAAUACAGGACUAUUUAUAACAAAUUUUAUUUUUUGCUAUUUUUUUUCAUUUUUGUUCAUUUAUCUGUCUUUGGGAGUGAGAAAUGAA